rnacentral:tRNA from 1 species
AAGGGUUCUUGUAGUUGAAUA